rnacentral:rRNA from 1 species
GUGUCAGCCGCCGCGGUAAUACGAAGGGGGCUAGCGUUGCUCGGAAUUACUGGGCGUAAAGGGCGCGUAGGCGGAUGUUUAAGUUGGGGGUGAAAGCCCGGGGCUCAACCUCGGAACAGCCUUCAAUACUGGACAUCUUGAGUACGGGAGAGGUGAGUGGAACUCCGAGUGUAGAGGUGAAAUUCGUAGAUAUUCGGAAGAACACCAGUGGCGAAGGCGACUCACUGGCCCGUUACUGACGCUGAGGCGCGAAAGCGUGGGGAGCAAACAGGAUUAGAUACCCUGGUAGUCCACGCUGUAAACGAUGAGUGCUAGUUGUCGGCAUGCAUGCAUGUCGGUGACGCAGCUAACGCAUUAAGCACUCCGCCUGGGGAGUACGGUCGCAAGAUUAAAACUCAAAUGAAUUGACGG